ensembl:lncRNA
GUUGCCCCCUAUCGGUCUGGAGGAUCCUGCGCAGGCGUGAGAAGCCGCCAAGGGUGGGGGGCUGGUGGCUCUGCGCAUGCGCGAGUCUAGAAGCGCCUCUCCGCUCACCGGCGGGCCCCGGCGGGCCCUGGCGCGCCUUUGCGCUCGGUGGGAACGCUGAGGGGUACUCUUUCAGUUCUCAGACAUCCUUGUCUAAGCCAAGCGGGAAGCCAGCGGUGUAUUUCCCUCUGCUCUCUUUGUCCCUUUAUCCCUCUUUGAAAAUGUGCCCUUGGAGUACACAGCAACAGGCUCCUGAAUGGAGAAGGAAGCCUUGUGGUGGUGGGCAGAUGUGACCCGAAGAGACGGAAGAAACUUCCCCUGGGCUAGACUGUUGUGUAUGAAGACAAUCCCCGUGCCCACGCGAAGGGCUACAAGACCCCUGGCCGGGUUGUCAACUGACUUUCCAGUGAACAAAGAACGGCUGCCCACUCUCCAGUUACCAGCCCCUGACAGUGCGCCCGGAGGGGAGUUCAGGAUGGAGAAAAACCGGAUGCUGGCCCCAGAUUGUUAGGAUGCAUAUGUAGAAAUCAUUUCAGUGAGCCUGCAUUCUUGCAUUUUCCCAAGAAAAGCACUGAAAUCCUUGAGUGUCUGUCUUUUGUGAUUAGGAGUGAUCUUUUGAUACUCGACUACAUGUGUUCUGUUUUUCAGCAAAACAAACAAACAAAAAAGCUCCUAUAUAUCCUGGCUCCUAUCUUACCUCUUUGGAACAGUUCCUCACAGCGAUCUGAAAGGCUGUCUCCCAGGCUAUUGUCCUCAGUAGGAUCCCCAAUAAAACAACUCACUCGGGAAUUCCAUGGCUAUCCAGUGGUCAGGACUCAGCACUGUCACUGCUGAGGCCCAAUUCAAUCCCCAAUUGGGGAACUAGGAUCCUACAAGCCAUGUGGGGCAGCAAAAAAAAAAAAAAAAACAUAACUUCCAACUUCUGGGUUGUGUAUUUUUGUUUUGAGUCAACACAGUUGUGAGAGGAACUCAAGAGGAUAAGGGUGUGAAUCGGUUCUGGUUGGUUGAUACUUUGCAGACUACAGCUUAGAAUAAAAGUCCUAUCUGAGCAGUCAAAGCAGCAGGGGCCAGAGUCUCAGAUUAGCCACUGGAGCUGCAACAGCUCCCUAGCUGCUUCUUCAGGUCUGGACCACAGCUGUGGAGCCCCCAGGGAAAUCUGGAGCUUCCCUCACCACUUCCUGGGAAGGACUAUUUCCUACUUGAGCUUGAGACCUGCAGUGAGAAAAUGUCAUAUGCUAGAGGCCCUUGUGGCUCAGCUGGUAAAGAAUGCAGCCGCAAUGCGGGAGACCUGGGCUCGACCCCUGAGUUGGGGAGAUCCCCUGGAGAAAGGAAAGGCUACCUAUUCCAGUAUUCUGGCCUGGAGAAUUCCAUGGAUGGGGUCCUGAAGAGUCAGACACAACUGAGCGACUUUCACUUCAGAGGCCCACACCAACCUGAC